GCUCAGAUUGAACGCUGGCGGCAGGCUUAACACAUGCAAGUCGAGCGGUAACAGAGAGUAGCUUGCUACUUUGCUGACGAGCGGCGGACGGGUGAGUAAUGCUUGGGAAUAUGCCUUAUGGUGGGGGACAACAGUUGGAAACGACUGCUAAUACCGCAUAACGUCUACGGACCAAAGGGGGGGAUUCUUCGGAACCUCUCGCCAUUUGAUUAGCCCAAGUGAGAUUAGCUAGUAGGUGAGGUAAGAGCUCACCUAGGCGACGAUCUCUAGCUGGUUUGAGAGGAUGAUCAGCCACACUGGGACUGAGACACGGCCCAGACUCCUACGGGAGGCAGCAGUGGGGAAUAUUGCACAAUGGGCGAAAGCCUGAUGCAGCCAUGCCGCGUGUGUGAAGAAGGCCUUCGGGUUGUAAAGCACUUUCAGUUGUGAGGAAAGGUGGUAGUUUAAUAUGCUAUCACUGUGACGUUAACAACAGAAGAAGCACCG
rnacentral:rRNA from 1 species